rnacentral:rRNA from 4 species
GCGGAGGGAUCAUUACUGAGUGAGGGCCUUCGGGCUCGACCUCCAACCCUUUGUGAACACAACUUGUUGCUUCGGGGGCGACCCUGCCGUUUCGACGGCGAGCGCCCCCGGAGACCAUCAAACACUGCAUCUUUGCGUCGGAGUUUAAGUAAAUUAAACAAAACUUUCAACAACGGAUCUCUUGGUUCUGGCAUCGAUGAAGAACGCAGCGAAAUGCGAUAAGUAAUGUGAAUUGCAGAAUUCAGUGAAUCAUCGAAUCUUUGAACGCACAUUGCGCCCUUUGGUAUUCCGAAGGGCAUGCCUGUUCGAGCGUCAUUUCACCACUCAAGCCUGGCUUGGUAUUGGGCGCCGCGGUCAAUCCGCGCGCCUCAAAGUCUCCGGCUGAGCUGUCCGUCUCUAAGCGUUGUGAUUUCAUUAAUCGCUUCGGAGUGCGGGCGGCCGCGGCCGUUAAAUCUUUCACCAGGUUGACCUCGGAUCAGGUAGGGAUACCCGCUG